GACGAACGCUGGCGGCGUGCUUAACACAUGCAAGUCGAACGAAGAGCGAUGGAAGCUUGCUUCUCUCAAUCUUAGUGGCGAACGGGUGAGUAACGCGUAAUCAACCUGCCCUUCAGAGGGGGACAACAGUUGGAAACGACUGCUAAUACCGCAUACGAUCUAAUCUCGGCAUCGAGGAUAGAUGAAAGGUGGCCUCUACAUGUAAGCUAUCACUGAAGGCGGGGAUUGCGUCUGAUUAGCUAGUUGGAGGGGUAACGGCCCACCAAGGCGAUGAUCAGUAGCCGGUCUGAGAGGAUGAACGGCCACAUUGGGACUGAGACACGGCCCAGACUCCUACGGGAGGCAGCAGUGGGGAAUCUUCCGCAAUGGACGAAAGUCUGACGGAGCAACGCCGCGUGAGUGAUGACGGCCUUCGGGUUGUAAAGCUCUGUUAAUCGGGACGAAAGGCCUUCUUGCGAAUAGUGAGAAGGAUUGACGGUACCGGAAUAGAAAGCCACGGCUAACUACGUG
rnacentral:rRNA from 1 species